rnacentral:rRNA from 1 species
AGUGGCGGACGGGUGAGUAAUGUCUGGGAAACUGCCUGAUGGAGGGGGAUAACUACUGGAAACGGUAGCUAAUACCGCAUAACGUCGCAAGACCAAAGAGGGGGACCUUCGGGCCUCUUGCCAUCGGAUGUGCCCAGAUGGGAUUAGCUGUGGUGGGGUAACGGCUCACCUAGGCGACGAUCCCUAGCUGGUCUGAGAGGAUGACCAGCCACACUGGAACUGAGACACGGUCCAGACUCCUACGGGAGGCAGCAUG